rnacentral:miRNA from 1 species
AAGCCAGGAGGAACUUGUUUG